UCAUAUGCUUGUCUCAAAGAUUAAGCCAUGCAUGUCUAAGUAUAAGCAAUUAUACCGCGAAACUGCGAAUGGCUCAUUAUAUAAGUUAUCGUUUAUUUGAUAGCACAUUACUACAUGGAUAACUGUGGUAAUUCUAGAGCUAAUACAUGCUAAAAAUCCCGACUUCGGAAGGGAUGUAUUUAUUAGAUUAAAAGCCAACGCCCUUCGGGGCUUCGUGGUGAUUCAUGAUAACUUUUCGAAUCGCAUGGCCUUGCGCCGGCGAUGGUUCAUUCAAAUUUCUUCCCUAUCAACUUUCGAUGCGAAGGUCUUGUCUUCGCAUGGUUGCAACGGGUAACGGAGGGUUAGGGCUCGACCCCGGAGAAGGAGCCUGAGAAACGGCUACUACAUCCAAGGAAGGCAGCAGGCGCGCAAAUUACCCAAUCCCGACACGGGGAGGUAGUGACAAUAAAUACUGAUACAGGGCUCUUUUGGGUCUUGUAAUCGGAAUGAGUACAAUUUAAAUCCCUUAACGAGGAACAAUUGGAGGGCAAGUCUGGUGCCAGCAGCCGCGGUAAUUCCAGCUCCAAUAGCGUAUAUUAAAGUUGUUGUGGUUAAAAAGCUCGUAGUUGAACCUUGGGGCUGGCUGGCCGGUCCCCCUCACCGGGUGCACUGAUCCAGCCGGGCCUUUCCCUCUGUGGAACCCCAUGGCCUUCACUGGCCGUGGCGGGGAAACAGGACUUUUACUUUGAAAAAAUUAGAGUGCUCCAGGCAGGCCUAUGCUCGAAUACAUUAGCAUGGAAUAAUAGAAUAGGACGUGUGGUUCUAUUUUGUUGGUUUCUAGGACCGCCGUAAUGAUUAAUAGGGACAGUCGGGGGCAUCAGUAUUCAAUUGUCAGAGGUGAAAUUCUUGGAUCUAUUGAAGACUAACUACUGCGAAAGAUUUGCCAAGGAUGUUUUCAUUGAUAAGGAACGAAAGUUAGGGGAUCGAAGACGAUCAGAUACCGUCGUAGUCUUAACUAUAAACUAUGCCGACUAGGGAUCGGACGAUGUUAUUUCUUGACGCGUUCGGCACCUUUCGAGAAAUCAAAGUGCUUGGGCCCCAGGGGAGUAUGGUCGCAAGGCUGAAACUUAAAGAAAUUGACGGAAGGGCACCACCAGGGGUGGAACUGCGGCUUAAUUUGACUCAACACGGGGAAACUCACCAGGUCCAGACACAGUGAGGAUUGACAGAUUGAGAGCUCUUUCUUGAUUCUGUGGGUGGUGGUGCAUGGCCGUUCUUAGUUGGUGGAGUGAUUUGUCUGCUUAAUUGCGAUAACGAACGAGACCUUAACCUGCUAAAUAGCCCGUACUGCUUUGGCAGUUCGCCGGCNUCUUAGAGGGACUAUCGGCUCAAGCCGAUGGAAGUUUGAGGCAAUAACAGGUCUGUGAUGCCCUUAGAUGUCCUGGGCCGCACGCGCGUUACACUGACAGAGCCAGCGAGUAUUUCCUUGGCCGGAAGGCCCGGGUAAUCUUGUUAAACUCUGCCGUGCUGGGGAUAGAGCAUUGCAAUUAUUGCUCUUCAACGAGGAAUCCCUAGUAAGCGCAAGUCAUCAGCUUGCGUUGAUUACGUCCCUGCCCUUUGUACACACCGCCCGUCGCCUCUACCGAUUGAAUGGCUCAGUGAGGCCUCCGGACUGGCCCAGAGAGGUGGGCAACUACCACUCAGGNNNGGAAAGUUGUCCAAACUCGGUCAUUUAGAGGAAGUAAAAGUCGUAACAAGGUCUCCGUU
rnacentral:rRNA from 1 species